ensembl:lncRNA
GGGCCAUCCAUGUGGGAAGAGCUCGGGUCCAUAAUGAUCAAUUACUCUCAGGACAGGCUGGCAACCCACGCUGUCAAUUUUGGGUCAACCUGGCUCUGCGAUUGCUCUGGAUGGGAACCGCCUCUCAGGCUAUCCAUCUAUAAAUUGAGGAUGCAGCUACUGCAACAAUCCACAGUUCAUACCGUCAAAAGGGAAUACUCAUUAAGUCACAGACUGGGGCAUUUCAUCCAGCUGUCCAAGGGCUGAGGUCUAGUCCCAGGUCUGGACAAGAGAACUAGAGUCCAGGACAACAGGUUCGAAUCCUGGCUCUCAUAUAUUCUACCUGCGUGACCUUGAACAAAGUCACUUUAGCUUUGAGGGCUGAGUUUCUUCAUUGAUAAAAUUUGGGAUGGGAAUUAGCUCCUGUUUCGGGCUCAUUCAGCUUUUCAAAAGCUAGAUUCUGGGAGUCUCCUCAGAGCUGUAAAUGCCUGAUCAAAAAACAGCCAAACAUCGCAGAUAAGGAAACUAGGGGCUCCAGGCCCGUCCUUAGGUCCUGUUCCUCAAGCCGGCGGAAAGACCUCCGCCUCCCCUCCUACCACUGCCAAGCAGACCCCGGGGCCGCGUGUCGCAGGCCAGCAGGACUGGGCGCCCAUCAGGUGCCAGCCAGGAGAGAGACCACAGUGCCGCGUCCGCACGCCUUUGAGACCCACGUGCGCUGCUUCUUUAAAUGUCCCGGCCCUUUAACAGAUCGCACCGCGCCCACUCCGGCGGGGGCUCCGGCGGCGGGGGCUCUGGCGGCGGGGAGAACCCGGCCCCGCUGAAGGCCCGAGGCCUGGAGCCCCUCCCGCGCUCCUCCACUCGCCAGUUCCGGGCCGGCCCCCAACGCAGCGGUCCCGGCGCCCUCCCCUCCCCAGCCGCUGGGGCCGCAUCCCCGGAACCGCCCCGAGGCGCGACCCGCCGCGGCGAGGGGCGUGCGGAGGACAAGGCCCCGCCUGCGGAGUGCAGCUCCACCUCGCGCCCUUCGAACGCCGGGCGAUCGGGCCCCCAUCCGCGCGCCCCAUCCAGCCGGCUCACCUGCUCCGCCGCGCAGCUCCAGCGGUGUUUACUGGCCGAGCGCCCGGCAGACCCGGUGCCGGCGCAGGCCCCGCCCCCGGCCCGCCCCGGCCCCGCCCCGCCGGCGACGCCACGCUCCCGGGUCCAUGUCCGGCCUCACUGGAGCCCGGGCACCGCGUAGGCGAGGGGCCGGGCUUCCCUUCGAGAGCCGCGGGGACCCGGGAAUGAAUCUGCCAUUGGACUGAGCACUGACCUGAGAGGCAGUGGAGGCCGCACCUGUAAUAUUCCAGAGUCCUAAAAAAGCUGAUUCUGCCAGUUUUUAUAAGCCUAAUGGUUGCUUCAGAGAAGGCAAUGGCACCCCACUCCAGUAC